rnacentral:tRNA from 1 species
UGGGGUAUAGCUCAGUUGGUAGAGCAGUAGACUGUUAAUCUAUUUGUCCGCGGUUCGAGCCCGCGUGCCCCAGCCA